UACGAAGGGGGCUAGCGUUGUUCGGAAUUACUGGGCGUAAAGCGUGCGCAGGCGGCUGCUCAAGUCAGGGGUGAAAGCCCAGAGCUCAACUCUGGAAUUGCCUUUGAGACUGAGUGGCUUGAGUACGGGAGAGGUGAGUGGAAUUGCGGGUGUAGCGGUGAAAUGCGUAGAUAUCCGCAGGAACAUCCGAGGCGAAAGCGGCUUGCUGGAUCGCAACUGACGCUGAGGGACGAAAGCUAGGGGAGCAAACAGG
rnacentral:rRNA from 1 species